GAACGCAAAUUUUUAAUUUGAGUGGCGGACGGGUGAGUAACACGUGAGAAUUCACCUUUAGGUGGGGAAUAACUUUUGGAAACGAUAGCUAAUGCCCCAUAUACUCGUAAGAGACAAAAGAGCAAUCUGCCUAAAGAGAAGCUCGCGGCUGAUUAGCUAGUUGGUAAGGUAAUGGCUUACCAAGGCGACGAUCAGUAGCUGGUUUGAGAGAACGAUCAGCCACACUGGAACUGAGACACGGUCCAAACUCCUACGGGAGGCAGCAGUGGGGAAUUUUCCGCAAUGGGCGAAAGCCUGACGGAGCAAUACCGCGUGAGGGAUGACGGCCUUUGGGUUGUAAACCUCUUUUAUCAAGGAGGAAGUUCUGACGUGUACUUGAUGAAUAAGCAUCGGCUAACUCCGUGCCAGCAGCCGCGGUAAGACGGAGGAUGCAAGUGUUAUCCGGAAUCACUGGGCGUAAAGCGUCUGUAGGUUGUUUAAAAAGUCUACUGUUAAAAAUUGAAGCUUAACUUCAAAGAUGCCGUAGAAACUUUUAAACUAGAGUAUGAUAGGGGUAGAGGGAAUUUCCAGUGGAGCGGUGAAAUGUGUAGAUAUUGGAAAGACCACCGAUGGCGAAGGCACUCUACUGGGCCAUUACUGACACUGAGAGACG
rnacentral:rRNA from 1 species